CGCCUGUUUAUCAAAAACAUGUCUAUUUGAGGUUAUGUAUAGUCUAGCCUGCUCACUGACAAAAAUGUUAAAUAGCCGCGGUAUUUUGACCGUGCAAAGGUAGCAUAAUCAUUAGUUUUUUAAUUGAAAACUUGUAUGAAUGGUUGGACAAAGAAAAAGCUGUCUCUUUUAUUUGAAUUGAAAUUAACUUCUAAGUGAAAAGGCUUAGAUUUUUUAGAGGGACGAUAAGACCCUAUAAAGCUUUAUAAGUUAAGUAAGUUAAAUUAAUUUUUUAAAAUAAAAAUAAGCUUAAAAAAUUUAUUUGGUUGGGGCGACAAUGGUAUAAAUUAAAUAACUGCUAUUAAAAUUAAGCAAUUAUAUUUGAUUAGAAUUAUAAUUGAUCCUUAUUAUGGAUUAAAAGAUCAAGUUACUUUAGGGAUAACAGCGUAAUUUCUUUUGAGAGUUCUUAUCAAAGAAGAAGUUUGCGACCUCGAUGUUGAAUUAAAAUGUCUUUAUAGUGCAGAAGCUAUAAAAGAAGGUCUGUUCGACCUUUAAUUUUUUACGUGAUCUGAGUUCAGACCGG
rnacentral:rRNA from 1 species